UACGGGGGGGGUAAGCGUUGUUCGGAAUUACUGGGCGUAAAGGGCUCGUAGGCGGCCAACUAAGUCAUACGUGAAAUCCCUCGGCUUAACCGGGGAACUGCGUCUGAUACUGGAUGGCUUGAGUUUGGGAGAGGGAUGCGGAAUUCCAGGUGUAGCGGUGAAAUGCGCAGAUAUCAGGAGGAACACCGGUGGCGAAGGCGGGUCUCUGGGACGGUACUGACGCUGAGACGCGAAAGCGUGGGGAGCAAACAGG
rnacentral:rRNA from 1 species